CACCAAUCCUAUGGUGGCAUUAAAGGCACCGGCUCAGCAAGAGCCCCUCUACGCCUCCAUCGACGAAGGGAAAGAGACGCAGACCCCGCCCCAGGAGCCAGACCCCGAUGCAGACGGACUCACCUACGCCGACCUGGACAGCCGGGCGCUGCAGGGCAAAUGGAGAGGC